rnacentral:misc_RNA from 1 species
CCAUCGUCACUUUUCUCACUUUUUUGCUUAGAGUCCAGAGCAAUUGCAGGCAGUUCCUCUAAAUCAUCAACCAGUUGAUUUGGGAUAGUGGGAAAAUCUGAAGCAUGUCCAUCAGGACAUACUGAAGUAGAUUGUUCAUUUGUCCUUUCUUCAUGAACAGGAUUUGCUUUUUCCAUUGCUCCAUUAAGCACACUGGGGUUG